AACUAGAUGACUGAAACAUAAGUAUUGAUCUCUUAAAUCAUAUAAUAGUAAAGUAAUAAUUACUUCUAGUUA
rnacentral:tRNA from 1 species